rnacentral:rRNA from 1 species
CACCGCGGUUAUACGAGGGGCCCGAACUGAUAUUCAACGGCGUAAAGCGUGAUUAGAGAGAACAUACAACUAAAGGAGAACAUCCCCCAAGCUGUCAUACGCUAACGGAAUGAUUGAACCCCCACAACGAAAGUGCCUUUAAGAAGCCUUGAACUCACGAGUAUUAGGAAA